rnacentral:rRNA from 1 species
GACGAAGGAUCCAAGCGUUGUCCGGAUUUACUGGGUUUAAAGGGUGCGUAGGCGGGAGAUUAAGUCAGUGGUGAAAGCCCUCAGCUCAACUGAGGAACUGCCAUUGAAACUGAUUUUCUUGAAUAUGGUUGAGGUAGAUGGAAUAUAACAUGUAGCGGUGAAAUGCUUAGAUAUGUUAUAGAACACCGAUUGCGAAGGCAGUCUGCUAAGCCAUUAUUGACGCUGAGGCACGAAAGCGUGGGGAGCAAACAGG